CCCUUAGAUGUUCUGGGCCGCACGCGCGCUACACUGAUGCAUUCAACGAGUUUCUUCCUGGUCCGAGAAGAAUGGGUAACCUUUUGAAAGUGCAUCGUGAUAGGGAUAGACUAUUGCAAUUAUUGGUCUUCAACGAGGAAUUCCUAGUAGACGUAGUUCAUCAGACUGCAUCGAUUACGUCCCUGCCCUUUGUACACACCGCCCGUCGCUCCUACCGAUUGAAUGCUCAGGUGAGCCAUUCGGACUUUCAUCAUGCUGGUUUCCAGUUUUGAUGAAGGAAAGUCUUGCGAACCUUAUCAUUUAGAGGAAGGAGAAGUCGUAACA
rnacentral:rRNA from 1 species